rnacentral:pre_miRNA from 1 species
AAUAAACUAAUCUUUCAGUUUUUACCUAUAAUGUUUCACUAUUCAUCUUAUUUAAAAAAAUUACGAUUAAUAUUUUUGUUGUUAUUAGAUGAUAAAUUGUAAUUAGUACUUUACGUGUAACUAAUUUUUUUUAAAUUUCUCAGAAAAUUUUCAAAUAAGACGGGAUAGUCAAACACUGAACACGUAAACCUAAAGUUUGUCUUAUU